CCUACGGGUGGCAGCAGUGGGGAAUAUUGGUCAAUGGGCGCGAGCCUGACCCAGCCAAGUAGCGUGAAGGAUGACUGCCCUCCGGGUUGUAACCUCUUUUUAUAGAGGAGUAAAGUGAGGCACGUGUGCCUUAUUGUACGUCCUUUAACAAUAAGGCAGCGCUAACUCCGUGCCAGCAGCCGCGGUAAUACGGAGGAUCUGAGCGUUAUCCGGAUUUAGUGGGUGUAAAGGGAGCGUAGAUGGGAUGUUAAGUCAGUUGUGAAAGUUUGCGGCUCAACCGUAAGAUUGCAAUUGAUACUGGCAGCCUUGAGUACAGGUGAGGUAGGCGGAAUUCGUGGUGUAGCGGUGAAAUGCGUAGAUAUCACGAAGAACACCGAUUGCGAAGGCAGCUUACUAAACUGCCACUGACGUUGAGGCUCGAAAGUGUGGGGAGCAAACAGGAUUAGAUACCCGAGUAGUC
rnacentral:rRNA from 1 species